CCUACGGGAGGCAGCAGUAGGGAAUCUUCCACAAUGGGCGAAAGCCUGAUGGAGCAACGCCGCGUGGGUGAAGAAGGUCUUCGGAUCGUAAAACCCUGUUGGUAGAGAAGAAAGUGCGUGAGAGUAACUGUUCACGUGUCGACGGUAGCGAACCAGAAAGCCACGGCUAACUACGUGCCAGCAGCCGCGGUAAUACGUAGGUGGCAAGCGUUAGCCGGAUUUAUUGGGCGUAAAGGGAACGCAGGCGGUCUUUUAAGUCUGAGGUGAAAGCCUUCGGCUGAACCGGAGUAGUGCAUUGGAAACUGGGAGACUUGAGUGCAGAAGAGGUGAGUGGAACUCCAUGUGUAGCGGUGAAAUGCGUAGAUAUCUGG
rnacentral:rRNA from 1 species